CCAGCUGAGUGAUAAAGGCUGAGUGUUGAGGAAAUUUCUGCAGUUUUAAGCAGUCGUAUUUGUGAUUGAAGCUAAGUACAUUUUGCUGUGUAUUUUUAGGAACACUCAGCAGACACACGUAUGCGAAGGGC
rnacentral:lncRNA from 1 species